rnacentral:rRNA from 1 species
UACGUGAGUCCCAAGCAUUGCCCGGAAUUACUGGGUGUAAAGCGUUUGUAGGCGGGUGGAUAAGUCAGGUAUGAAAGACCGAAGCUCAACUUCGCGUUUGUGCUUGAAACUGUCCAUCUAGAAUUAGGGAGAGGUAAGCGGAAUUCUAAGUGUAGGGGUGCAAUCCGUAGAUACUUAGAGGAACACCAAAAGCGAAGGCAGCUUACUGGAACUAUAUUGACGCUCAGAAACGAAAGCGUGGGGAGCGAAAAGG